CCUACGGGAGGCAGCAGUGAGGAAUAUUGGUCAAUGGGCGAGAGCCUGAACCAGCCAAGUCGCGUGAGGGAGUACUGCCCUAUGGGUUGUAAACCUCUUUUGUCGGGGAGCAAAAGCCGGACGUGUCCGGCUGUGAGAGUACCCGAAGAAAAAGCAUCGGCAAACUCCGUGCCAGCAGCCGCGGUAAUACGGGGGAUGCGAGCGUUAUCCGGAUUUAUUGGGUUUAAAGGGUGCGCAGGCGGAUUUUUAAGUCAGCGGUAAAAUCGUGGGGCUCAACCCCAUCCAGCCGUUGAAACUGGGGAUCUAGAGUGUGCGAGAGGUAUGCGGAAUGCGUGGUGUAGCGGUGAAAUGCAUAGAUAUCACGCAGAACCCCGAUUGCGAAGGCAGCAUACCGGUGCACAACUGACGCUCAGGCACGAAAGCGUGGGUAUCGAACAGGAUUAGAUACCCCGGUAGUC
rnacentral:rRNA from 1 species